UCUUCUGAGGAUUCAUGGCAGCUGCUCUGUAUCAUCAGCUCCAGCAGUCAGUCAUCAGGGGGGGAUGUGUUAAAGAGUCAGCCAUUUUGACUGAACUGGGCUUGGAUUUUGCUGGAGAGGGAGUACUCCGUCGUGGAUGAGAACUAGAAAUUUCUGGAAGUGACCAUAAGAUGCAGAGGAUAUCUGGGAGAAACCUCUUUUAUCAUAUCUACAGCAUAUAUUCCUCAACUGGAAUACAGAGUAGAGGAAGAUGUAGGUGGACUGCUAAUUCCUCUUAGAAGAUCUGGUGAUGUCAGUCAAAAAUUGAUGGUCAUUUGUUCUGCACUCCAAGGUUCAGCUACUGGUACAGUACCAUCUACUGUCUUGUCUUUUUCUGACUACAUCUCACGUCCUGAAGGUCAUUCCAGUGUUAAUUUUAAUAAGAAUGAGACAGAGAAAAGCUGUCACAUUAUCAUUAUUGAUGACUCCCUUUAUGAGGAAGAUGAGACCUUCAAUAUUUCUCUGAGCAUGCCACUAGGAGGCCAAGUUGGCACUGAAUUCCCGAGCACUAAAGUAAUAAUGUUGGCUGACGUAGAUGAUGAAAUAUAAUGGAAGAACUGCCUCAUCUUAUAUCUGUGCUAGACUACAUAGACAAAGUUUUUGAAAUGGCUGUUUUACUUCAAAUGAACCUACUUAGUACUUCGAUAACACUGAGUAUCGAGCUGGUUAUGUGCGUAUUCAUGUCUGGAGGACUGGAACAGAUCUGUCCGAAGCAGCUUCUGUCACUGUGUGCUCCAGAAAAACAGAACCAAUAUCAGCAGAGGGAAUAUCAAUGUUCUGUUCUGUCAUCAGUGGUGAUGUCUGCUGACCACCCUGGCCUCGCAUUUACACUGUUAGGGAGCGAGCCAACCUUCCAGCAGCCUCUGCAGCAGUGGAGUUUUCUCUCUGAUUUUCCUGUGAGUUUGCACUCUGACUUCAAUCUAGAGAAGCAAAGGGAAUUGUCAUUUUUUUAACAUAUUUUCCACGCAGUCAUCAGCAGUAUAAGAUCAGUAAGCAUCAACUCAUUUGGAUGCAGUCAGAUGCUUUCAUUGCAUAACGAACAGUCAGAAGUCCCUGGUGUCCCUGGAUCUCAAGUCUGGAGGCCUGAAUCCUAGUGAGCACCUUCCAUUGAGCAGGCCAGUGCUAGAGCUGUGGGCAGUCUUGAAGAAUUUGCCUUAAUGUUGUCACCCUCGGUGUUGUCAGGAGACUGUGAUCCUGCAGCUCCUGCUGCAAUUGUGUCUGAUACGGACAUCGGGUUCCAACAGGUCAGUGACCCAGUGGCUGCAGAUUUCAGUCUAAAUACUCAGAUGUUUCUGCUGUCUAAAAAGGAGCUUUGGAUAUCUGAUGGGUCAAUAGGAUUUGGAGAAGGAGCUGAUGAAGCUUUUACAGAAGGUAAUGAGUCACUUGCACAUUCAGCAUGUUAUGAAAGCUAAGAAGAGAACAGCAUUUAACAAGAGAUGAAUACAUAUUUUACUAGUUCUAUACCUCUUUUAGCAACGUUUUUGUGUCUAUGUAUUUCCAUGGCAGAAAAGUAAAAUACAGAAACACUAAAAUAUGAUUUAAUUUAGUGUAACGGCAACAGACUUUGGUUCUGUUUAUGGGCUUUAAGAGGAAAAGCAUUCCAAAGGGAGGUGCAGAAUUCAGGUGCCUAUAAAUGAAACCACAGUUCUGAAAACUGUUGCUCAGCUAUUAUGUAAUCGCACAUUCCCUUCACUCUGGUGGUUUUGCUUUAAAGCUGUCUACUCUAGAACUUGUUGUCCUGUUUUGAGAGGGAUGAGUAAUUUCAGUCCUUUCCUUCAGUUGUUCUAGUCAGGUGUGUUGUACACCUGAGACUCCUCAGGACUCGAUCCUGCAGCUAUUCCCGAUGCAGACUAGAUGCACAGUACCUGCAUCUGGUUUCAACCAAGCUGCUCACUCUGUCUUGAUUUUUUUUUUUUGAGUUCUGGCCCAGGGUACAGUGCUCUCACAUACAGCACUCACCAACUGAAGCUGUUAACAGCUUCUAAGGAAACUCCUGGUAAAGGCAGUAUUAGAUCAGAAAUAACUUUGUCUUUAAUUGGUCCCUUAUUUGAGCUAUUGGUCUGAAACCCAAUGAGAACCCAGUAAGUUUGUUAAUAACUUUAUUUUGCUUGAUAUAUUGCUAUCGGUGGGUAGCUUCUUAUAUGUGAAUAUGGGUUGCCCUCUAGUGAAGAGAAGGGAAAAGCUUACUAAGAAAGGAGCUGCACUGUAAGAACCCCAUCAGUAUGAAUUGUAACAGAAAAAGAGUCUGAAGCCUAUGAUAAAUUAGUAGUAGCAGUCAUGGAGUGCAUUGUCUUCAAGUGCAAAGGGAUAUACUCUUAAACCUAGGUAAUUUCUGUCCUGAGAACCACAGUCACAAUGGCUUGGCAAUAAGUUGCUUUAAUAAUUUUAAAUUGACUAGCAAAAUGUGAAAUGCAUUGAUCUGUUUUGCUAGGAUCUGAAAUCUGUGGCUGAGUGACAGUGGAUCCUGUUCAGAACCUUGGUGACUCCUUCAGCUGCACCAUCGAGGUGUUCCUUGGCACUGGUGCCGAUGGGUGCGUGCCCAAGUACAGCCCAGACAAUCGGGAACACAGGUGUCUGGCUGACUCACCCUCACUCGUGUACAGAUUCAAGAUCCUGGUAUGUAAAUAGACAUGGUAGCAGGCAUUUUUAGAUCCUUGACUUCCAAGUGAACCUGUAAAUACUAAAUUUGCCUCCUUUAGGAUAAAGCUCAACCUGAGACACAAGCAAGAGCCUUUGGAAACUUGAAGUUUCAUGCUACAUUAAGCAGCUGACCACACAGAUUUUUUUCCUCUAGUAAAAGACUAGUGUGUGUUAGGUAGUUGUGAUAGCCUCUUUAUGUUAACACUAGGAAUAAAUAGAGUCUAUUAAAGCAUGUUUUACCUGGCCUACUUCAGAAGGAUUCAUUAAAAAAAGAUUAAUCUUAUCACCAAAUGUGUAUUUCUGUCAUUGGCUUUAAUAGACAUAAUAGCAGUGAACUUGGACCUCCAGCUGGAUUAAUCUCAUGUUUGGCAUCUUCUAGUUUACAGUAAAUGUGCAUGGGGGGCUUCUCGGUUUUGUUUGUUUUUCUGAAGGUGGCAGCAGGCCGAGAAUGGUACAUUCACACUAGUCUGACUAAAGGAAAACACACACAGGCAUAACUGCAAAAGAACUCUUGACUACCACCCUGUGUUGUCCUCUGCUAGUGGAAGAGUUAGCACCACGGCCUCUAAAUGAAGCAGAAGAGCCAACCCAGAUGCCCCGGUCUUGAUGCAGGACAUUGGAGCUCAUAAGUGUGCCUUACAUCCAUCAAGGAAGCCUGGUUCUUAAAGAGAUGCUGCUUCUAGUUACAAGUAUAUUAUCCUAGUUUUCAUGUAACUGUGUUUUGCUUUUUUAUUGUUAAUUAUUCGUGGGGAGGAAGGUGGUGGUGGUAGCAGUAGAAUGGACGCUAAGUAGCAGAGCAUUCGUCUCAGUGAUUGGUACCAGUGGGUUUGUCUCACUUUAAUGAGAACUUUGGACCUAUGGACAGCAGUGGAAGACUCAACACAGGUAAGGCUGCAAGUGCAGCUCUGUUGUUAUUACCUAUGAGGAGAACAUUUAUGUAGGAGCAACAUGAAUUAGAACUAUAUUGUAAAACCACACUAGAUAAUAUAGCAAUUUUCAGGUACUGGCAUUAAAUGUUUUCAAACAUGCUUAAACAGAUUCCAGCAUUUCAGACCAGUAUUACAGCUUUCCUAUAUUGGACAGUAAUUGCUUAUCUUCCUUUGCUUGAGUAUUUGUUUUGCCAGAUAGCUAGCACUGGGGGAAUGCACUUGUAUCAUCUAGAGCAAAUAUUUUGCUUUAACGUCUACCUGAAAGAAAGAAAGAAAAUUGACUUUAUACAACUUGUAGGCAUGCCAUUUAGGACGUUAAAGUUUAGUUCACUUCAUUCUGCAAACUGGCGCUUGCAAAGUACUAGCACAAAGGAAUUGCUGCUCAGCUAUUUAAUACAUCCUUCCUCUCAAGAAUGUUAUUUAGGCUAGGUGUAAACAAACUAUCAUGGCUUAUUUGAUUGGUCUGGGGUUUUUGUUUUUUGCUGUUGGGUUGUUGUGGGUUUAUUCUUUUUUGCAAAGAGGGAUGCUUUGCAAUGGGAUGAUUUUUAUAGAUGUUUUCAGCAGUAAAGCUUUUUUGUUUAGAGUACACUAAGCAUAAGUUAAGUUGCAUUUUGAGUAACAUUUUCCAGGGCUGUCAUGACAUUACAGAGUUUAGAUUUUUUUUUUUAGUGGAUUGGCUUAAGGUUACUCAAUUCAAAUUGAGAAUUUGUCCUUUUUUUUCUCUAGUGAAUUUCAAAAUUAUGUUAAACUAGGUGAUUGCAUUGGGAAAUGCACGAUUUAAUCUUGGUCAUAAUGUGCCAGAGACUCAGGUCAGCAUAGGAAACACUCCUGAAUGUGGUACCAUUUGUUUGACUAGAGCAGUCGAACAGAGUGGAUUGCAGUGUGAUGACAACACAGAAUCUUGCACACUUGCAGUCAGCAUCAGUUCUUUUCACAGGAAUCAAGACCAUAUCUGCAUUUUUCCACAGCUGUUUUAGAGACAUGUGGGUUGUUAACAUACUGUUAAGUUCUAUGUUCUGACUUGCUGCUGUUUUCCAAUAAAAGUAAUGCUACCAUUUCUAGGCCAUUCUAAUUAAGUACAAACUUCAGUGUCGCUUCCCUUUCUGCUGCCACUGUAAGUAGAAAAAUGUUAUGAUUUUGUUCCUAUCUACACGUUCGUCAUUAUUUCUUGAGGUAAAUAUCUGGCCUUACCACUAAUGUCAAAGAACAAUGUAUAUUUGUGCAGUACAAUUAAGUUUAAUUAAGUUAAAAUCCAAGCCACGGAAUUUCCAGAAAGGGGGGACUUGAUGGGUCGUGGCUUUUACCAAAAAAAAACCUCACCUAAAUAAGUCUAUUUUUCAUAACAUAAAAGCACUGUUUGCAACACCCUUAGAGGUUAAAACAAAAGCAAAGACAUAAUUUUGGAGUGACUAAAUAAAUAGGUAUUGAAGUAGAAACAUUAAUAAAAAAAAAAGUCAAGUGAAACCUUAUUAA